rnacentral:rRNA from 1 species
UUCAACGGAGAGUUUGAUCCUGGCUCAGGAUGAACGCUGGCGGCGUGCUUAACACAUGCAAGUCGAACGAUGAUG